GAUGAAGUAUGCUGGGGAUCACUGCAUUGUGACCUCAUUUUCCAGGGCAGUCUUGAUUUCCAACAUUCUGUUCUCAGAAUCGAAGUGUUUUAAGUUUUAGAAUACACUACCAUCCAAAUUAGAGCCUUUCUAGUUUUGAUGGAGUAUGUCCUUAGAACUGCUGGGUCCUUCAUCAUCAUAAAUCCAAACCUUCCCGGGAAGGAGUUGAGCAUGGUGCAACACACCUAUUACCUCAGCUUCCUGAAAGGCUGAGGAGGAGAAGCACAAGACUCGAGGAUGUUAAAAAAAAAAAGGUCAUUUCAGUUGCCUUUAGCUGCAACAGUUCUUGGUGGAAGGGUUUCUGUCCUGAGAUGUUCAACCUAAAGAGAUCUGCAUUACGAAAGGAAUCAGCCUGAGAAGAAAGCCUCUUGGGAUGAGUUACAAUUACUUUUCUCAAAGAUUACCUUUUGACAUAUCCUUUUGGUUUGGAGCAAAAAGGGAAGAAUCACCUGGGUAAUUAUGACAAUUCUUUACAUUUCUCAAAGGGGGUAUUUAUAUAAUUAAUAGAAAAACCUAACAUG